rnacentral:misc_RNA from 1 species
UAAUAAGUGUUUUAUGGCACUUUUUAAAUCCAUAUCCACCUUGUGUGCAAUGUCGGUCGAUCUUCUUUUUUUGAGGAUCGACCAAACAUCAACCUUUAUUUUUUAACUCUUUGUCUGAAAAAUAUUAUGAUAAACAAUUCAAAUA